CUUUGUUUAACAGUGCUGAGUUUGCGGCAACCUGCUACAUGGCAACAGAUAGCGAGCCCAGCGUCCUGGCCUUGAGCUGUGCCCGCGGCUCCGGUGCUCAGCUGACCGCAUUUCCCCCAAGCACACGCCCGUAUAACCACCCAGAUCAAGACACAAGUAGUUCCAGCUCUUCCAGGCUCCCCUGGCCCCUCCUGAUCCAAACCAGCCCCUCCUCCAGAUAACCCUGAUUUCCACCUCGAUCCCUGCAGACUAGUUUUGCCUGUUCUUGAACUCGAGGUUUCCUGACCCAUCUGCUCGCAGGCAGGGAUGGGGGUAUGACAGCUGAGCACACCACACACGUUUCCAGCCCUGGCGAGCUGACAGCCUGGCAGGGAAAGCGCCUGCUGCUCUCUGGGACUGGCCACGGCUCCCCGCUCCAGACGUCACCCAACUGCACCCAGCAAAGAAGGGGCUAGCUGUUCUCAGCUUCAUCCUAGGACGUGGAAAGCCCAUCUCAGAGAGGAGCAGAGGGAGCACGGCCAGCAAAGUCCCCAUACGGGUCCUCACUCCACGGCCC